UCUUACAGAUUCAGAAUCAAGUGGGAUGUCCUGGAAGAAAAACAAACAAACAAAAGCCCCACUAGGUGGAGUGAAAUGGAUCAGGAGCAAUUAUGUUCAAUUUUACCUUAAGUUUUCUCAAAAGGAGGAGCAUUAAGAAUCAGCCACCUUAGUACAUACUUAAAGAUUUACUAAGAUCUGAUCCUGUGCCUGCUGAUGGAACGUCAGAGGAAUGGGAUCCUGUAGGUGAAGAUCAUCAGCUUAUAAAAUCUGUUGCCAUCAAUGGGGGUGGCAGGGAAAGGAUGAAGAUUAGUUAAGGGGCCAGUGGACUCAGCAUUUAAAUGAAUCAUGAACUUGAAGCCAGAAGACUCAGUUUGUGUCCCAGCUCUCUCAAGCAAAGCCACCAAGUCCCAGUUUCCUCAUGUAUAAAAAAGAAUAAAAAUACUUAAUGGA